rnacentral:rRNA from 1 species
CGAUGAACCACUUCGGUGGGGAUUAGUGGCGAACGGGUGAGUAACACGUGGGCAAUCUGCCCUUCACUCUGGGACAAGCCCUGGAAACGGGGUCUAAUACCGGAUACCACUCUCACGGGCAUCUGUGAGGGUUGAAAGCUCCGGCGGUGAAGGAUGAGCCCGCGGCCUAUCAGCUUGUUGGUGAGGUAACGGCUCACCAAGGCGACGACGGGUAGCCGGCCUGAGAGGGCGACCGGCCACACUGGGACUGAGACACGGCCCAGACUCCUACGGGAGGCAGCAGUGGGGAAUAUUGCACAAUGGGCGAAAGCCUGAUGCAGCGACGCCGCGUGAGGGAUGACGGCCUUCGGGUUGUAAACCUCUUUCAGCAGGGAAGAAGCGAAAGUGACGGUACCUGCAGAAGAAGCGCCGGCUAACUACGUGCCAGCAGCCGCGGUAAUACGUAGGGCGCAAGCGUUGUCCGGAAUUAUUGGGCGUAAAGAGCUCGUAGGCGGCUUGUCACGUCGGGUGUGAAAGCCCGGGGCUUAACCCCGGGUCUGCAUUCGAUACGGGCUAGCUAGAGUGUGGUAGGGGAGAUCGGAAUUCCUGGUGUAGCGGUGAAAUGCGCAGAUAUCAGGAGGAACACCGGUGGCGAAGGCGGAUCUCUGGGCCAUUACUGACGCUGAGGAGCGAAAGCGUGGGGAGCGAACAGGAUUAGAUACCCUGGUAGUCCACGCCGUAAACGGUGGGAACUAGGUGUUGGCGACAUUCCACGUCGUCGGUGCCGCAGCUAACGCAUUAAGUUCCCCGCCUGGGGAGUACGGCCGCA